AUUGUUUCUCAGCCUUUUGGCUGAGAUCAAGUGUAGUAUCUAUUCUUAUCAGUUUAGUAUCUGAUAUGUCCUCUAUUCGAGGACAAUGUAUUAAAUAGAUUUUUGAAAUUAGAAGAUGGAAUUAGGGGCUUGCUCCAUCCACUCCACACAUCAACCUGGUAUUGCAGUACUUCCAGAAUGGUAAACAACAA